ACUUUUUUUUUUUUUUUUUUUUUGGGUUUAAGGGCAAAAUUCACUUCACCCCCUUGUGGUUUAGCAAUUUUUCACAUAACCCCCCUAUAGUUCUAAAAAUUAUAUAUAGCCCCCUCAUAAUUUAGAUUAAAGUAUCAAAUUGUCGAAAAUGAUCAUUUGUAACGGAACCUAUAAAAUGUCGAAAUUAUCUUUGUUUAAAGGGUAAAUUAUAUUUUACCCCCUAUAGUUUAGUAUAUUUGUACAUAACCCCCAUAUGGUUUUAAAAGUUAUACAUAACCCCCUCAUGAUUUAAAUUAAAGUGUCAAAGUGAUAGAAAUGAUCAUUCGUAACCAAACCUUUAAAAAUAUUGAAAUUACUCUUAUUUAAAAAUUAAAAUGGUUGAAAUGACCAAAAUAUAUAAAUAUAAUAUAUAUGACGCACUAACCCAGUAUGAUUUUAUAUUUUACCAUAUAACCCUCUUAUAAUUUAAUACUUUACCAUAUAACCCCUUAUAGUUUUCAAAAUAUACACAUCACCCCAUUGUGGUUAGUAAAUAAUUUUCAACUUUACAUAGGAGUAUUUUUGACAUUUUAGGUGACUCCGUUUUGGAUUGUAAAUCUCGUUACUUUGACACUUUAAUCUAAACUAUGAGAAAGUUAUGUAUAGUUUUUGAAAUUAUAGGGGGGUUAUGUGAAAAAGCGCUAAAUCACUGGGGGGUAAAGUGUAUUUUACCCUUUUUAUUAAAGUGAUAGAUUUUUAAUCCAAAACCUUCUACUUACAAUCCCUUUCAUCUUACCAUCCAAUUCAACCCUAUCUAGGGGACUUCACAAUCUAAUUGCGGCGUAGAACAAUUAACUCACAUCUCUAGGUACACGCCAUGUAUAAAACAAGUUCAUCUAUUAUUAUGUUUAGAGUUUAAAACUGUUGAAACUUGUACAAUGUUGUAUUGAAACUUGUAGAUCUAUACGCAUUAUACAAUGUUGUAUUGUGGUGUACUUUUAAUAUCAAAUUAAUAAAUUAAAUUCACAGAUAAAAGAAGUAAACUAACAAUUUUAGUACACCACAACAAUAUAAAUAGUCACUAUUUAGAUAGUAGUGAACAUUCUAAGAAACAGUUCUAGUGAAACACUCAAAAUUAGACGUUAAUUCUUGAACUCUUUUAAUUGAGUCUCAAACAUGCAAAUCUUUCAAGCACUCGAGCUCUCUAACUCUCUCUUACAAACUGAAGAAAAAGCACCUUUUUCCUCGUCUCAUGUAGUGCAUUGCAGUCUGAGAAUCUAGCGGAGAUCAUGCUCAAAUCUGAAAAACCUUUUUGGGGUCAAGCUGUCUAACAUGCUAAAUAUACCAUAAAUGUUUAUAGAACAAAAGCCUUCUAAACUUUUAGUCAUUGAAUGUGGCCAACAGCUUCACUGUUCCACAUUUACAAAUUGUUAAUAAUCAUGUCAGAGGGUCACUGUUGUAACUUUAAUAUACAAUACAAAAUGUAGAGUGUGGCUCCUGAUCCAAUUAAUUAGAGACAGCAAAAAUAAUUUUGUCACGAUGGAUGGCUACAAUAAUGAAAUAAAAAAAUAUUCAUUCUCACAAGAAAGGAUGAAAAAUGCAGAGUAAUUUGUUCCGAUGAAUUUGAAAAUAUCUGAAUUUAUGUACAUGCGGCACGUGCAUUAUUUUCUUGUUUUGUCCCCGUUACUUCACCAAAUCCAAUGAAAUUGGAAAUGGAUGUUAGGAAAUUCGAUUUAUUUUUCAUCUAGAUUGUGUGGCAAGUAAGUAAUUUCAAACAUUUUCUAUUUAGUAUUUACUUCAAAUAGUCAUUAAGAAAAUUUCUAUAUACAUGGGUUUCGUAAGCAUGUUAAGUCGUUCAAUUUCAUUAGUCGGGCAAUGGUUAAGCAACGCAUUCUAUAAAUAGGUGGGGAGUGGCAACACACAAAAGGAGCCACGUGGUCUUAUGCAUGAGGUAAAAGAAGUUAUACAAAGGUUAAAUUUGAGGUUCAAGUCGUAUUCUUAUUUGAGGUUCUUCCCUUAUAAUAAAGAAUAGGUGUUCUUUCCCUAGUCAUAAGUUCUAUAAUUGAAUCAAACCAGGUUAAAUAUUUUCUAUCACUCUUAUUUCAUGCGGUGGUUUGGUGUCAUUAAAUAGUUAAGUUCUUGAUUGUUCAAUAAUUAUUUAUUUUGCAUCGUGGAUCCCAACAACAGGCAUCAGAGCAUAGUUGGAUCGGAUUAAAUAUUGAUAUCAAAUGAAUUUGUAACAAUUAUCAAUUUAACAAUUUAUAAUAGGGUCAACACCAUUGUUCAAGAAAGUUUGGUAGGGGAAAGGAUUGGAAGCCAAAUAACGUCUCAAUAAAAGAAAAUAGUGGAGUCCAAUGUAACAUUUGAAUCUAAUCCAAUGGAGAGAUGUUUUCACAAUUUUCAAAUAUGUGUACUUCGCCUGGCGCUUGGAUUUUAGCUAUUGGUUGUAGCCAUUCUUUGGUUCGUGUGGUGUAUGUCCAUAGGCACAAAAAAUUUAAAUUUCCAUGCGUUAAUAGGCUCUAAAUGCUGGGCGGAUUUUGUUAGAGGAUUAAAAACUACACACACGGCGAGAUACCUCUGCUGAAAGUAUAGCUGUCAAACAAAGCUGUCAAACAAACCCAUGUAACUGAUUUAUCCAAAUUUGUCCAUGAAUAGAUGAGUAUGGGUAUUUUAAAUUUUUGUAUAUGGGUAUAAAUGGGUUACCCAAUAAUACUCAUUUAUUAAAUAAAUAUUAUUGGGUAACCCAUCAAAUCCAAUUAACCUAUUUAGAAUUGUUUUCCUCCAAAUCUCCUCUCUUCCCCUACCCAUUUUUUUUUUUCAAAAUUUUUAUUUUGUCAUGAUAUUAACUACUUUUGUCUCAUUAUUAUUAUUAUUGUCGGUUUUAUCUUAUCAUUUUAUUUUCUCUUAGUUUGUUAACUUGCUCAUUUUUCAGCAUUACCAAUUUAUGACAAGUUUUAGCCUUUUUUCUUGCUUUUCCAAAAUGAAAUUUUAAAUUUACAUACAAAAAAAUGAUAGAGGUUCAAAAUUUUUUGAUUAAGUUUUUAUGUUAACUUUCAUAGUACUUAGUUCAGAUUUUUAUAUUGUCAUUGUUUAAUUAUUAAAUAGUAUGUAAUUUUGCGACAUAGAGUACGGAUGGAAAACAAAUUGACAAUUAGUUUUAUUGAGUAUUAUAAGUAAAUAUUUAAAACUAAUGAUGUGUACAAAGGAUGGUAUAAAUUGAUAACUUAGUUUGAAAAAAUGAAUUUACAAAAGUUAAAAUAAAUGGGUAAUUGGGUUACCCAAUUCAUUUUUUGACUUACCCAUUUAGACCCAUCUAAUUAAAUGGAUAUAUGUGGGUUGACUUAUUUAUACCCAUUAUGCAUUUUACCCAACCCAAAUCCGACCAAAUCACCCAUUUUGACAUCUUUAGUUGAAAGGGAAGAAGUAUGGUUACCUCAAUGGUUGAAAGUGUAGUUUAGGAAAGGGAUAAUUUCAGAAAUCUCCUUGAGGUUUCUAAUAAUUUCACUGGCCUCCAUUGAGAUUUAUAAAAUUACACUUACCUCCCUUGGUAGAAUUGUGGGCCCAAUUACUUACACCAUAUUGGGGAAAAUUACUCAUAUACCCUAAAACAUUAUGUCUUAUAGAAACUAAUAUCUAACGAUUGAGUAAUUAGAGCACUAAUUAACUAUUAAUAACUAAUUAACAGAAAUAACGGUUGAGAAUUUCUUUAAUGAUGAAUAGUGAUUUGCAAUUAUAAAAUAAGGCCAAUUGAUAUACCAAAUGACAUAAUUUUAUGAUUGAUAGAACUUGAUAAUGAUCAGAAACCAGUUGUACACAAUAUGAGAAGAAGAACUCUAAUAGAAAAAAAACACAAGGCAAAAGAAGAUUGUUCAUGAGAAAAUUUUCUUUGAAACUUUUAAAACUGUAAUAGUUGUAAAGCAAUUUUGUAGAAGUAAAGGAGAAAGAAGGGAAAAGAAAGGCAAAAUUCAAAAAAAUUUUAUGUUCAAAAUCACAAGAAUCAUAGCAAAUUUAAUGUUAAGAGCAAUGAUUGGUCUAUUUUACUGAAUCUUAUGAUCAUUAGUUUAGUUUUAUUGUUUAUUUGUAUUGUCUAAUAUAUUGAACAUGAACUUUUUCAGUAAUGAAAUGUGUGUUUUAAUUGUUUCUAAUUUUUAAUUGUUUUCAUUUUUUUACUAAUACAAUUUAUAUACAUAAAUAAGUGGUAGUUAUGGGAUAAAAGUUUCAUCUCUCUCCUUAAAAUACCUUUUUAAUGUCACUUUUUCUGAUUUGGACUAAUUUUGUUACUAAAACAUUAAACUCAGGGGAAGUUUAUGUAAUUUGACAAACCUCAAGGGAGGCUAGUGAAAUUGUUAGAACAUGCAGGGAAUGUUUCUGAAAUUAUCCCUUUAGGAAAAGGAAUCCAAAGUUGCUUCCAAAUUAUAAGUGGUGGCAAAAAGGAGAAUCUUACAAACAGAUACUCCCUCCGUCCCAUUGAAACUGUCAUGCUUUCCAUUUUGGUCUGUCCCAAAAUGUUUGUCACAUACUCAAAAUGGAAAACAAAAAUUCUCUUGUUUCAAUUUUUACCCUUCAAGAUUCCCUCACUCUUUACUUUUAUUAGUGGGGCCCUUUGAUUUUCAUUUGCUCUCAACUCAAGUUGCAAGACAUCCGUGAGAUACACACAAGGUUUAAAGUGAUGCGUGAGAAUCACUCUCUGUUGGCGGAUUGCAUUUCUUGUAAGUAGUUUUGGCCCCACAUGUCAUUUUUGUCUCCUUAACCACUAAUGACCACACAUUCUAGUGGCAAAAUCGGAAAACAAAUCUGAAACUUAACACUGUGCAUAAAACGUUCAGCUCCCAAAGCACGACAAAGUUUUCGGGACAGAGGGAGUAAUAAAUUGAGCAAUGAUUGGGCCUUGGUCCAAUGAUUAGGGAGAGUCUAUUAAAACUCUCUCGUAUACUAGGUUGAGAGGUUUAAACUUUGCCAAAUGCAUUACAAGGAAGUGUAGUGCUUACUUGUUCUUAAAAAACUAGAGGUACUUGAACUGUGCAAAGCACAGUUUGAGCCCCCUAGAAAUUUAGUCGAAUGCAUAGCAUCAAAUUAUUUUGCCACAUGAUGAAUGAAUAGAAAUAUAGGAGAAAAAUUGAGCAUCAAAGCAAUUAAAAUUGACAAAUAUUAUUUGAACUCUCAUUUUUGUUAAUCAUACUUCCGCUAUUAUUUUUAUCAUAUAGCUUUUGUUUAUUAUAGGAAUAGAAUUAACAAAAUAUGGAGAAUAAAUAAAAUUUCUCUCAAAAUUUGUUGUAAAGAGAAAUCCCAUCUAUGAAUUCAACCUCCCUAUUUAUUGUGAUUUGAAUAAAGAUUUUUGAACCACUAUUAUAUGAUACCCAAAAAGGAGAGAAAAUUAAUACACUAUAAGUGCAUUGAUGUAUUAAUAGUAGUAUAGUUUUAGUUAAAACUAAAUCAAAAGCAGUCAUAAUACUUUUAGUACUUUAAUAAUGAGAAAAAUUUUAGGAAGCUGCUAAAACAUGGCACAAUCUUCAACAUCAAUAUAGCUUACUAUAAACUUUCAUAUUUUUCUUUCUUUUGAUAGAAGAAUCUAGUUCAUCUAUGUAAAUUCCGCCUAAAGGUAACAACAUUAUCCUGCAGCUCCAGAAUAUAAAUAGUAAGAUUAGAUAAAAAUAUGAAUUGCUAUGUUUCCUGAUCUACAUAUACAAAUUAGAAUUGAACUAUUUUUUAUUGCAAAACCAUCUUCCUAAUCAAAAUUGAAUUUUCUAACAAUUUUUUGUCAAGUCAUAUUCUAGGCCGAAACCCUCAAUUGUGACUUCCACCACUGACUGCAAUCCUUGUAUACCAACCCAAUUGAUACUACAACACUUGAGUACUUAAAAAACAAACAAAAAUUAACUUUAUUUUAAAUAUAUACAAAAUCUUAUUGGAUCCUUCAAUUAAAUUGAAUAGGCCAUAAAGUAAUUGCAAAAAGAAAGAAAUGGAGAAAAACGGAGGUACAAGAAUGCCUAGCUAGAUUUAUCUUAGUGGAAACAUCACAUGAUAUAUCUUUCUCCUAAAAAAAUACACAAAAUUGUAGAUAAUUACAAAAUGGAACCAAAAAAACAAAGCAAAGGAAACAAAAUGUGACGUCAGAAAUCAAAUCAUGGGAGGAGAAAAUAAAAGAAUGAAUUUUUGUUCUAUUAUUCAUAGAAAAUGAUCAUUGGUAUAAAAUGAAUUCUAAGAUAUUUUAAUAUUUCACCUUUUAUCCAUGAAGAACUACCAAAUAAAAACAUCAUCCUAUAAAUUUAACAAACAAAUGCCAGUUGGCUAUAACAUUAUGAUAAAAAAAUAGAGCAAACAUGAGAGAUUAGAGAUGAAGAAAAAAGGAAGAAAAGAAAAUGUAAAAUGGGAUAAAAAUAAUAAAGAAUUCUUUUUGCUAAGUAGCUAUCAUCUUGACAAAAAAAAAAAAAAGAACAUGGCAACAAUCUUAGUUAGAUUAGUUUUAAAAAAUAAAAAAUAAAAAAAGUGGGGGAUGACAUUAGUUACUGCAAGAAGAAAAAGAAGAGAUGGAGUUGAUUUUCUUAAGGAGAAAAAAUAUUUUAAUCCUUUAACCCAAUUGGAUCAAAAAUGGGAAGGAAAAAUUUAGGUAAAAUAAUCAAAGGUCCACUUGUCAAAAAUAUAUGCAUUACAUGUGUCAAAAAGAUGGUUAGCUACAGUAACUUGAAUUUCUUUUUAUAUACAAGGUAGAUCUUACUGCACUUGUUUGGUCUGGUAGGCUAGUGUAGAAGUUCCGGUGCUUUUUUAGACUCCCCUUCCCUACAGCAUAGGGUAGUGUAGAAGUUCUGAUGGCUCAUCUUAAUGUAGAAAUAGAGUAAAUGUUCCUGCUAAUGACCAAUAAAAGAAAGAUAAUAAAUUGAGCCAUCUCACAUGAGUCAACUUAGUGUAGUUUAAUUGGCUCAUCUAAGUGAAGUUUAAAAUUUUGAACUCCUAAUUAUCCAAACAUAUCUUAGUGUAUUGUGCGUUUAUCUUAUAUGUAAUGACUACGGUAUCACAGUUACACACGUAUGACAUGUACACCAUAUUUUAAUUUAAAAUUUAAAUUCAGUUUAAUUAUCAUGCAUUCACUGGUGACAAAAUAUACGUGGUCAAUGUUAGAAUGCUAAUCUAUGUAUACAGACUUAAAUUCAUAAAAUUUCUAGUGAUAUAGUUAUAAUUUCAUAAGGACCGGUGUUUUGACACAAAAUCGAGAUCAAAUUUAUAAAUUUAGAUCAUAAAAAGAUUUGGAAUAACAUGAUUGGGAGCUCACAACUAUGACUAAACCUACUAUAGUCUUCUUUGGAAGGUAAUUUUUCACCAAAUUUUUUUUUAAUAUUUUUCAAUCACUUUUUUAUUUUACAUACAUCAAGUCACUAUAGUAUAUUUUUCUAUAAAAUUCCCUAAAAAUAACAAUGUAAAGGGGUAAAUUUUUGUGAAUCCAAUUACUCAAAAAAAAAAUAAAGUGGAAAGAAUUGAAAUAUCAGCAUCACCACCUACCUGCCCCCCGGCCACGGGGCCCGUGUGAUGUCACAGGACUGUUACGGACAUUCGGUAGUCCAAUUAACGGUGGGGUCGGUCGUUCGUCGUAGCCUUCCACUGGACUCUACUGCAGCGGGGCCCCAAGGGAUGUGGUUUCGUAGUCGAAGCUGAGUCAGGAUGGACCCCACCACCUGUAAAAAAAUAAAAAGUAUCCGAAAAGAACAGCCAGCGAGCGAAUCCAAUGCUGCCGUUGUUUGGUGGGAUUGAAAUUCAAUCGCCAAUUCACUGCAGGCAACAAUGCGCAGCCCUAUAACACUGCAUGUAUAGCCCCCAAGUGAAUGGGCUGGUGGUUGGCGCCUCUUUCUCGGGACCGUUAGGUCCUGGGGUUGAACCUCCGCAGCAACAUCGGUUUUUCCGUGCAUCUAACGUGCUAGAUCUGGUUGGGGCGCUGGGCCCGGCCGGAUUGGGAUUAGUCGGGCCACCUUUACGGACUUGACCCGGACACUCACUCCGUCGACAAAAAAAAUAAAAAAAUAAAAUAAAAUUACACUGCAUGUAUAGUUUCAUUUUCAUAAUCUUGGUUGGGGAAUUAAUUCCCUUUUAGUCCUAGUAUGCAAUACUGCUGUCUUGACGAUCCGUAUUAGUAUAAAUUUCCUGAGGCCUAGGGAAUAUUUUAGAAUAUUUUAUUUUGGAGUUAUUUUUUGUUUCUUGGGUGGAGGGUAAGGAGGGACUAGAAAAGGAAUUAUGACUAAUUUAAGUUCUUUAUGCUGAUGCAUUUUGGGGCAAGGAUUGCUUUAGAACCCCAAAUAUCCAGAUUUCGACUCCUUCAAUAAUAACUUUUGAAUCCCCAUAAGAUGAGAAGCUUAGUCUAAUAAUAAUAUUGGCGGAAUCCAUUAGCCCAUUGGUUGUCCAGCCCAACGGAGUAUCCAACUCAAAUGCCAGUCUAAUUACUUGACUGAGGAUUUUAGAAAUUAGGGUUGUGGAUUGGCAAAAGUUUGUGGACCUAUGGAAAAAGAAUACUGUAGUGUAUUUGAUGAAACAGCAAAAUCAAAACUGAAACUAAAUAUGAUUUAAUUCAAUAGUUAAAAUAGACAAAUCUUAGAGCUGUUACGACAAGAUAAUAUACACAAAAUUAUGUAGAAAUUUAUUGGUAGACUUCUUCAUGACCUACUCAUAAUCACUUCCUUCUCUGAAAUCUGAAUGCAUCAUAGCUUUCAUAGCACUUCAACAAGCAUUUUGUUAAGUAAGACAAAAUACUAUUCACAAUAGUAAUUUAGAAAGAAGUAAUUUUGAUGGAACUUUUAAAUACCAUAAAGGAUAUGCAGAGGACAGGGCAAAACUAGUUAAAAGUAUUGGCUUUGGAUAGGGUAUUAUUUGAAAUAUUAUUUGGAAUAAUUACUAUAGCACUUUUUAUGAUGUGAUGUAUGCGAGAUAAAAAAAAUGGUUGGAAAUAUAAAAAAGAUGGAUUAAAAAAUGUGUUUAUGAUGCAAGCGAAAUAUUAUUUGAAAAUUUUUUUGUAUCCAUCAGUUUACGGGCAUUUCAGAACCCCAAAGUCGUCCCCGCCGAAUCCAAGAGGCCUCAGGCCUUGAAAAGAGGUCAGUCUUAAGGGAGACCAUGCGAAUGGUUGAAUUGAAUACACGUUUUAUCUUUAAUCCAAUCUAAUUAACUGAGCUUCUUUUAGAAUAGAACGGAUAAAGGAAGGAGCUAAGAGCUUUCCGCCAAGUUUUUUUUUGUCACUUUCUUCUUUUAUAAACUUCUUCGCUAAACUCAAUUCAAAAAAAGCUGUACUGACUAGCGUGAACUCACGGAUUGAGUUGUAAACGGUACCUUUGCUGGGAAAAAGCAGAUCAAUCAAGUUAAUCAAGGACGGAGCUGUUAGUGACGAUUGGCCCAGGGGCCCUUGGGCCUCAGGGCAUAGAUAGAUCAUAGGUGAGUACAAAUAGGCCCGUUAAAGACGAGUAAGCAGGGUGCGACGAAGCCCACGGGGUGGCACAUGGUCGUACUUAAAGGACGAACCACUGGCAUUACUUAACCAUGCCUUCUGCACUUAAAGGACUGCCCAUUUGUAACCCAUAGAUUAUCCUCCUACUUGGCUCAUUCUUACCCUCGCAUAGCUGAAAGCUAUUUUAUUUUUUUAAAUCCUUCCACUCCUCUCCGUACCAUUCCAAGGUUCAACUGUUAGGUACAGACUUUGAACUGAGCCUGAUAGCGGGAAGCCUGAGUUGAAAGCCAGUUACUCUCCACAAAGCAUACUCCAAUCAUACCACUCACUGCAUUUCCCUUGCGCCAUGUCUAGCUCAUUUUUUGGUUCAACCACGAGCGAGCAAAGAUGGGCUAAUCAGUUCAAUAAACAUUUCACCAUAUACAUUGAAAAUGAUGCCUCCAUCUUUCGUGUACCAAAAAAAGUAUGCGACACAAAGCCAGAAACUUAUGCCCCUCAGCAGAUAGGCCUAGGAGCAUAUCAUAACUUGAGGCCUGAUCUUGAUGAAAUGAACCGCAGAAAGCUUGAGGCUGUCAAGAUAUUUUUGAAGCCGGAACAGUACCGGAAUUUCAAAAGCCUAAUUGUCGACAAGGUCAAAGAGCUUGAGCCCUCAGUACGCGCUUGCUACAGCAAGUACUUGGACAUUGAUGGCGAUACUUUGGCAUGGAUCAUGUCUAUUGAUGGUGUAUAUUUGCUUCAUCGGCUGAGCACCUAUAGAUAUAAAGGAAGUGUUGAUUCGGAGGACAGGAAGUUUGCUCAGGACAUUGCAAUGUUGGAGAAUCAAAUGCCCGUGAUUGUGCUCGAAGAAAUAUUGAAGGCUAUUCAAGCUCCUGUUGAAGGUGAGGUGCAAGGUGCCGAUGAUGAUGAUGAAGCUGGUGAUGGUGAGGAUGAAGAAGAAGAUGACGUUGAGGAAGAGGAUGAAAGUGAGAACGAGGAAGAAAACAAGGAAAAAAAAUUAAAUCGAUUGUUUUUGUCAUUCUGUAAAGCACACACUCCCCUUGGCCUAACUGAUAAAGCAGGAAUUCUUGGCGAUACCUCUAAUCCUCAUCUUCUGAGUUAUAUGUAUAAUUUGAUUGUGAAAAAUCGGUCUCUUGGAGAUCAGUCUCCCGAAGUUCGUAUUCUUUUAUCUUCGGCACCAGUCGAGGUAGCUGAUCCAGUUACACAAGUUACACAGGCUGCAAGCGUUGCAGCUGAUUUGACGGGGCAGAAACCUCUGCAACUGUUAGCUAGUUUGCCACUGCAGCAGCUUGCUGAUCUUUUCAAAGAAGAUUCAGAAAAAGGAAACUCUUCAAUUGAAGAGAUCCAUAUCCCAUCAGCUUCCCAACUUGAUGCAAUUUGCAAAGUACAAUUUGAAGUCUGGAGUGAAGAUUCAGGCGUCAAAAUAAUGGAGCUUGAUAAAUUGAAUCGGGUAAUGUGCCUCCCCGUAAUUACUUUGAACACUGAUUCAGAAGUGAUAUUACGAAACCUGGUGGCUUAUGAAGUUGCCUCAGCUUCUCCUGGAUCUACCCUUAUACUUGCCGGAUAUGUGGAUUUCAUGUGCGGCAUUAUUGAUACUGCAAAAGAUGUAGAUUUGCUCAAGGAAAAAGGAAUCAUAGAAAGCAAUCUCCUGAGUGAAGAAAUCGCAGAAAUCUUCAAUGGGAUAAGCAAAUCUAGCAGUCAGCGUGCCCUUCCUGAAUUAGAAGAGGCUACUCAGGAUUUGAAUAGGAUUUAUGACAGCACUUUCAGAGUCAGAACUUGGAGAUUGAUAAGAGACUAUUUGAUUCCAUCUGUCAAACUCUUUUUUGCGAUAUUGGUGCUUUUGCUGCUCACAGUACAAUCAGUUUGCCAGGUUUAUGGCUGCAGUGCAAGUUCGCUUGGCAGGGUCAGUUCUAUAUGAUCAUUAUGGUUUUACAGAAAGUUCUUGUUUGCCUUCGGGUUUUGAUCUUAAAAUUAGAAUUUCGUGUUUGUCAAUUUGAGGAGGUGUUAAUUAUUGUUCUUUUGACUACAACCUAAUGAUAAGAGUACUAGUUUGGCAAAGACUUCUUUCUUUUUCUGUUUUUCAACGCAAAUAUAUUUUUUUUAUGCAUCAAACUAUAUAUCUCUUACAGUAUUAAUGAAGCAAAAUAGCAUACACAAGCACAAAUUUUGAUUCGAAAUUUUUCUUUGAGUAAAAUAUACUUAAGCAAGUUUUUCCGUAACGCUCUUGUGAUUUCAAAAGAUAUACAUAACCUCUCAUAAUUUGUACUAUAAUAUUAAAGUGAUGAAAACAAUCUUUUAUUGUGACACAUUUAUAUCAUGCAAUCGAAGAAAAAACACCUAAUUAAACUAAUAAGUUUGAGACGUCAGGCACCCUUUUUCCUCGUCUCAUUUAAUCGAAAAAACCUUUCUUUGGAUCAAACUAUCUAACAUUGCUACCUAAAUCAUAAAUAUAUAUAUAUAUAUAUUUAUAGGACAAAAGCCAUCUAGAGAAUAAUAAAGAAUAGGUGGUCUUUCCCUAGUCAUAAGUUUUAUAAUUGAGUCAAACCAGGUUAAAUAUUUUCUAUCACUCUUAUUUCAUGCGGUGGAUUGGUCUCAUUAAAUGGUUAAGUUCUUGAUUGUUCAAUAAUUAUUUAUUUUGCAUCAUGGAUCCCAACAAUUGGUAUCAGAGCAUAGUUGGAUCGGAUUAAAUAUUGAUAUCAAAUGGAUUUGUAACAAUUUAAUAGGGUCAACAUCCUUGUUCAAGAAAGUUUGGUAAAGAGCAUUGAAGGGGAAAGGAUUGGAAGCCAACAAACAUCUCAAUAGGUGAUAAAGGAUAAAAGAAAAUAGUGGAGUCCAAUGUAAAAUUUGAAUCUAAUCCAAUGGAGAUGUUUUCACAAUUUUCAAAUAUGUGCACUUCGCCUGGCGUUUGGAUUUUAGAUUUUGGUUGUAGCCAUUCUUUGGUUCGUGUGGUAUAUGUCCAAAGGACGCAAAAAAUUUAAAUUUCUAUGCGUUAAUAGGCUCUAAAGGCUAUGCGGAUUUUGUUACAAGGUGGAGCAUUACAAACUACACACACGGCGAGAUACCUCUGUUGAAAGGGAAGAAGUAUGGUUACCUCAAUGGUUGAAAGUGUAGUUUAGGAAAGGAAUAAUUUCAGAAAUCUCACUUGAGGUUUCUAACAAUUUCACUGCCUUUCCUGAGGUUUAUAAAAAUGCACUUACCUCCCUUGGUAGAAUUGUGGGCCUAAUUACUUACACCAUAUGGUAGGAAAUUACUUAUAUACCCUAAAACAUUAUGCCUUAUAGAAACUAAUAUCUAACGAUUGAUUAAUUAGAGUACUAAUGAAGUAUUAAUAACUAAUUAACAAAAAUAACUGUUGAGAAUUUUUUUAAUGAUGAAUAGUGACUUGCAAUUAUAAAAUAAGGCCAAUUGAUAUGCCAAAUGGCACUAUUUUAUGAUUGAUAAAACUUGAUAAUGAUUAGAAACCAGUUGUACACAAUGUGAGAAGAAGAACUUUGGUAAAAGAAAAAACACAAGGUAAAAGAAGAUUGUUUGUGAGAUAGUCCUUCUAGUGCAUAAUUAUUUGUGAGACAUUAAAACAAAACUGAUAAAGAAACAUAAUAUUUUCAACCCUUCACCAAGUAAUGCCAAGGGUAUGGUUGUUGACAUAAGGAAUUUCUGUUUGCAGACAGUAUUUCUAUGACAAUCUUUAUGUGUAAAGAGAUAGUUAUCCACUACUGAGAAGAACUUUUUUUUCUUUUUUCUUUUUUUUAUCUUCAACAGAAUUUAAAAGCUUGCAAGAAUUUUCCAUGAAAUUCACUAACCAUAUUUUUGAGAAUUCAGUAGUUCAAGAAUCUUGGUUUAAUUUUUGUGCCCUUCUUGUGCAGUACUAUUUAGGUUCAAAGUAAGGAUAAGAGCUUUUUAAGAGAAGAAAUGUAGCUUGGGCUUUCAGUAUUGUUCUUUCUUCCUUCUUUUUUUUUUUUUUGGAAUUUCUCUAUUUCUUCCAAAAGGAAAAAAAAUGAGGUGAAGAUUUAUUAGACGAAAAUGUCAGUUGCUAUAUGUGUCUAUAAAAGAAUCCCACCACCAAAUAUUCUUGUUCUUGCAUCAUCCAUCACUGUUCAAUUGUAAAAAUAGGAUUGGUUUUAACCACUUGCGAUAAAAUUAGGUCUUCAAUAUUGGUAGCAUCCAAACUGAAGCAAAUAUAUACCAUCAAGUUCCAGGUUCCUGUUAUAGCAAGCUCGGAUGGAGGGCUCAAUCGUUUUCAGCUUAUUAAUCAGAAGUUCUUCAAAAUUAUCAAGUAUUUCUGGCUGAACAAACCUUUUCACUACAGCAAUCUUCUGUUUCUGCACUCAAUAAAGCUCUGGGCGUAAACUAUGAUAGGUUCCUAUACCUAUUCGCUGAGGGACAUAAGCUUCUGGUUUUGUGUCACACUUUUGGGCUAUGUUUUCAGAACCGGACCGAGUAUCGACUCGGCCGAGGUCAGGGGUCAGGGAUCAAUGGGUUCGACCGGGGGUCGAUAGAGGUCGAACCGGAUAACGUCAUAAAUAAAAAUUAUUUAAAAAUUAAAAUAUUAUAUAUAAAAUAUCUAAUAAUAUGUUAAUAUUAAUAAAGGUAUAUUCAUAUAUAUUUGAUGUUUCAAAUAUAUUUAACAAGAAAAUACAAAAAAAUUAGAACAAUCAAGGAGCAAUUUAUGUUAUUUAAUAAAUAUUAACAAGUUUAGAAUUAAAAUUAUGAAUUUAAUUGAAAAAUAACAUCAAAUUUUGGGACAAUAUUUAUAAAGUAUGAAAUAUUUGAGGUAUAUUAAUAAGUUUUAACAAUUUAGGGGGUCAAAACAUAAUAUUGAAAAGAUUGAGUUCUUUUUUUUUAAAAAUGCCCAUUGAACAGAAAAACCGAUUUUUUCCCGGUCAAACCCAGUCAAAUUCAAUUUUUGACCGGCUUUGACCGAGCUUUAAAUUUCUGAUUUUUUACUAUGACUCGGACCGAACACUUGGCCGAUUUUCGGUUCGACCGGCUGGUCCGAUCCGAGUUUCAAAACAAAGCUUUUGGGAACUCCAAAAGCACAAUGAGGGAUGUCAAUGUGUAUCUUGAACUUUUUCCUGACCCGAUCAUCCCAGCGUUUCUCCCUUAAACCUCUGUUUUGAAACUCGGACCGGACCGGCCGGUCGAACCGGGAACCGGCCAGGUAGCCGGUCCGAGUCAUAUUAAAAAACCGGAAAUUUAAAAUCCGGUCAAAGCCGGUCAAAAACCGGGUUUGACCGGGUAAAAACCGGUUUUUCCGGUUCAACAGUGCUUUUUUAAAAAAAAAUUUUCAAACUUUUUAAUAUUAUGUUUUGACCCCCUAAAUUGUUAAAACUUAUUGAUAUACCUCAAAUAUUUGAUACUUUAUAAAUAUUGUCCUAAAAUUUGAUGUUAUUUUUCAAUUAAAUUCAUAAUUUUAAUUCUAAACUUGUUAAUAUUUAUUAAAUAAUAUAAAUUGCUACUUGAUUGUUCUAAUUUCUUUGUAUUUUCUUGUUAAAUAUAUUUGAAACAUCAAAUAUAUAUGAAUAUACCUUUAUUAAUAUGAAUAUAUUAUUAUAUAUUAUAUAUAUAAUAUUUUAAUUUUUAAAUAAUUUUUAUUAAUGACGUCAUCCGGUUCGACCCCUAUCGACCCCCGGUCGAACCCAUUGACCCCUGACCCCUGACCUCGGCCGAGUCGCUAUCCGGUCCGGUUCUGAAAACAUAGCCUUAAACUUGAACCAAGAAUUAAAUCAUUCAUCUUGUUGAUGAUUGCUGAGUAUUUCUUCAGGUUGUGGCUUAAUUAAUAUGCCGUAAUGCAAAAGCAUGUAAUUAGCUUUUUGACCUUUCAAAACAUUGCAAAGAAUCAGUUUUUGUCCCAAGUGUUUUGAUUAGAAAUUCUAAUCUACCUUUUUCUUGUUUGAAUACAGAUUAACCACUCUUUCCUAAAAAUUUUCUACCUCUAUAUGGGCACAAUCUCUUCAUGCUUAAUCAUCAAUCAUUCACGCUUUUGUUCAUGGGAUCAAGCUUGUGAAUGAAUAAGUUGAAGUACCUAAAUGUCAAAAAACAAAUGUAAAAUAAGUUUUACCACAUCUAGUUGAUCUUCAGAGUUAACCAAACAAGGGAACUAUAGGGGUUUAUUACUUUUCCUGAGAUUUAAUUGCGUAGAAACAAGUAAAAUGCUCAUUGAGCGCUAGUUCCACAAUCCCAAUUUUUUUUCAUUACCAUUUGGUACUAUUAAUCAUAACUAGACCUAAUCUACGACUAAAUCAUGCAUUAAAAAUACUUAAGAUAUACGGUUAAAAUUUUAAUUUGUGGAAGAGAAUAUGAUUAUCCACUGUCAGGUACCUUUUCAGCUGAUAGACAAAUGCAGUGCAGAAAGUAGGACAGUAGGACGACUACCUUCUUUGGCUCAUUUCCUCCCCUAGUGUCCAUCAGAUUCUCUAGGGAACUAGUGGGAAGAAAGCGAAAGCAGCAUAAGCACAGAAACAAGGAAACAGGGGCACAUGGGAAGUGCAGUAAACCUAAGCGCAAUGCCAAACAAUAACGCCUUUUUUAAUCGUCAAGUGGGAGGACGCAGUACAGAAACACGAGAUCGGAAACCAAAGCGCGAUGCGCGAACAACAUAACGCCUUCAAAACAGCGAAGGAAUCAGGUUGAAUCCAAUUGGCACUUUAUGUACUUAUGUUGAUAAACAACAAUAAUAAAGAAAACUUUAGUUUUUGAAAUAUAAAUCACUAAAAUGUAGAAUAGAAAAAGAAAGCAAAAUGAUAGGCAAGGGAAAAACAAGAAAGUCCAAAAAAAAGGGGAAAAAAAAAAGAAGGAAAGUAAAGAAUGGCAAAGUUCGACAAUAUUUUUUUCCCCCAGCUGAUCAUUGCUUCAUCCUUUCCUUUCUUAGCAAAAAAAUGUACCAUUCAAUAUGUUAAUCCUGAGUGUGUGAGAGGGAGAGGGAGAAAGAUACACCAGCUGGGGUGGAUGAAGAAACCACCAAAGUAGAAUCAAUUUCUUCCUCCACUUCUGUGGGAUGGAGCUGUUUCACUGAGGUUUUCUAUUCUUGUGCAUGUUCCUUUUUGGUCUUACAAAUAUUUUUGGGCUUUGUAAUGGGUUGAAGUUGAUGUGGUUAAGGGGCUUUUUAGGCCUCAUGCCUUUUUUUCGUUUGGUUUGAUUAGUUGGGACUUGGGACUUGUGAAACGCAGGUAGAAAUUACUUGGGACUUGGGACUUGGUUUGACUAGGGCUUUCUAGUUUUACUGGUUUGUAUGGUUGGACAAGUUUCUGCAGGUAGUUCCUCUUUAGUCUUCUGAAAAAUUACUUGAAUUUGAAAAAGGUAAGGCACUUAACAUAUGGGCCUAAUAAAACCUUGAGAAAAACUUUAAUAAAUGGGCCUGAAAAAUAGUAGGCCUUGGCCUCGACAAAAAGUUUACCAAUAAAUGCUUAGGAUGUGCAAUAUUCAUACCUUAUCUGGUUAAAGACUUAAGAGAGAAAUGCAAUUUUGAUUCUCAAUGUUUGGCCUAUAUUCUGAAUUGGACCCCAAUGUUUUAAUCAAAAUAAAUGUGGUCCACAAAAUUUUUAAUUUUGAGUAGAUUUAAGACAAUUGAUAGAAAUUCAACCAUUCCUAACGGUCAAAAUCAAAUUUCCAUUAGUCAACUAUUUUUGAAUUUGUAUUUAGAGUUUUCAAAUUUUUUAAUUUAAAUCAUUAUAGUCCCUUGAGUUUGGAAUAGUAACAUUGAGGGUUUUAGGAUGAAACUAAAUAUGAAUUGUGUUGAAAAUGUGCUAUAUUUACUAAAAAAUUUAGUAUCAAAAAGUAUGAAAUAACAAAAUAGACCUUUCUUCUUCAUUUUUUGCUUCUUUAUUUCAUUAGUUAUAUUACUAAUUUCUAAUAUAUUUCCUAUCUUUUGCAUAGUUGAUCUCAAAUUUGGCAAAAUAUAUCUAAUCAUACCAAUAAUCAAUUGAUAAUGGAUUUUACCAAUUUCACUUAUAUUGAUAAUUAAGCACUCAAUUUAAUAUCCCUUUAAAAUGAAACUAUAUGUAAAUUAAGUUGAUUGAAAAACAAUUUUUCCUUUUAGAUUUUUUUGGCAUUUCAAUUGGUUAUCAAUUAAGUCUCAAAUGAAUAGAUAUUUUAUAUAAUUGUUUAAAUACUUUAAUAAAAUCAACAUUGUAGGUGAAUAUACAUAUACAUACACACACACAUACACAUAUUAAAAUUUUAUUAUUGAAAUAUUUAAUUUAGAAGGAAAGUCAAGAAAAAACAACAAGCAGUCUUUUCAAUUGGCUUUGCGAGAAGGCCGCUUUGUACUUCACUCCGUAAUUACUUUUACACAUUAAUGUAAUCAUGAAUCUUAACCAUAACCGAUUGAAGCCCACCUCCACAAAUCAUGCGAUAAUUUAUAUAAUAGUGUUAGAAUAAAGUUAUAUACUAAAAAUUAGGAUAUUAUCCAUGUAUCAUUAUUCAUGAUACAUGAAUAAUAUCCAUGUACCAUUAAAAAUCACUACUUUUUAAAGAUAUUAUCCAUGUAUCAUUAUUCAAUUGUACUUAAUUCUACAAAGAAAUGUUUUUUAGGCUAAAAGAUUGUGUUGCGUCAGUGUGAAGUGUUUUUAGCAUUUUUUAUAGGAUUUUAGAACACAUUUAUCAUGCAUUUUGGUUCAUAUUUUACUUCUUUGAAAACCUUAAAUAUAACCAUUUGAAACAUAAAAGGACCAUAUUGAUCAAAAUUUCAAAAUUUAUGAACCAAAAAUGCAAAAUUAAAACUUUUGACUAACUCCAAUUUGAUUUUGAUCAUCAAAUUUUGUAAUUUUUCGUUAAUUGUCCAAAACAUGCAUAAAAUUAGAAACUCUAAGGGCCACAUAUGCUUUGGAUGAAACAUUAGGAACUAAUUUAGAACAUCAACCAAACAUUAGAGACCAAAAUUGUAAUUCUCCCUAGAAUUAAAUUUAUGUUGACAUAUAUGUGGCACGUUAUUGGAUGUUCAGCUAUGAGUGCUGAUUUAUGGCAAUGAAGUUAUGCUUUUUUAUAUAUAAAAAUAAAAAUAUAGUUAAAGAAUUGAAUUUAAAACAAAUAAUUUGCCAUUUAGAAGAAAGAUUAAGAAAUCAAGCUGCUAAACGCCAAACUUAUAUUUUUUUUGGCCCGGGGGAGGGGGGGGGGGUGUUGGGGUGUUAUUCAUUGUGUGCUCGCUUGGAAUCGUUGUCCUAAAAUUUUCUUCUGUCCUAUUUGUCCUGUGUUUACACAGCUGUCACAUGUGUUGAUUGCAUUGAUGACUCAAGCAAACCUUUAAUUGUUGAUCGAGUUUGUAUCAAUUUGGUUGAGUUAUCAAUGCAUCAAUACACGUGACAGUUCGUAAACACGAGACAAACGGGAUAGAAGUAAUUUGAGAGCAGAGGAUUUGAAGCGUUGUGUACUUGACCCUUAUUAACAGAAACCGUUUACAACCUUUUUUUUGUGCCAGUUACAGAAACUCCCAAGGAAACUGUCCAUUCACAAGCUAUAACCAAAAUACAAGAAAAUGAUAACAAAAUACCAAGGGGAGAAAAAGGCAAUAAAAAAUUUUCUAUAAGAGAAAGAAGCAGGCUCAAAGAUGCUAUGACUUCUUGCCAAACCAGCGAGAACUGCAGCCAUAGACAUCGCAAAAAGCUUGAAAAGCUAGCAGCACCACUAUUAAUACAUAAAGAAAAAUUCUGACACAAACUUCUGAUGGUCUAAAAUGUUGCCUCAGAUAUGUCCACAUUUUGAUCCUGAAUGAAUCAUCAUAUCCUUUAUUCAAUUCAUCAAUGG
rnacentral:lncRNA from 1 species